rnacentral:rRNA from 1 species
GCACAUGCAAGUCGAACGAUGAAGCCCAGCUUGCUGGGUGGAUUAGUGGCGAACGGGUGAGUAACACGUGAGUAACCUGCCCCCGACUCUGGGAUAAGCCCGGGAAACUGGGUCUAAUACCGGAUAUGACCUCGCACCGCAUGGUGCGGGGUGGAAAGAUUUAUCGGUGGGGGAUGGACUCGCGGCCUAUCAGCUUGUUGGUGAGGUAAUGGCUCACCAAGGCGACGACGGGUAGCCGGCCUGAGAGGGUGACCGGCCACACUGGGACUGAGACACGGCCCAGACUCCUACGGGAGGCAGCAGUGGGGAAUAUUGCACAAUGGGCGCAAGCCUGAUGCAGCGACGCCGCGUGAGGGAUGACGGCCUUCGGGUUGUAAACCUCUUUCAGUAGGGAAGAAGCGAAAGUGACGGUACCUGCAGAAGAAGCGCCGGCUAACUACGUGCCAGCAGCCGCGGUAAUACGUAGGGCGCAAGCGUUAUCCGGAUUUAUUGGGCGUAAAGAGCUCGUAGGCGGUUUGUCGCGUCUGCCGUGAAAGUCCGAGGCUCAACCUCGGAUCUGCGGUGGGUUACGGGCAGACUAGAGUGAUGUAGGGGAGACUGGAAUUCCUGGUGUANCGGNUGAAUUGCCCNNAUAUCANGAAGGAAACNCCCAUGGCGAANNGCAGGUCUCUGGNCAUUUUACUGACCNCUGAAGGAACCNAANGCCAUGGGGGAGCCGNAACAGGAUUAAAAAACCCUGGGUAGNAUCCCCCNGUAAAAAA